rnacentral:rRNA from 1 species
UAGGGAAUAUUAGUAAUGGGCGAAAGCCUGAACUAGCAACGCCGCGUGUGCGAAGAAGGCCUUCGGGUUGUAAAGCACUUUCUGCGAGGAUGAGGAAGGACGGUACUCUCAGAAUAAGUCUCGGCUAACUACGUGCCAGCAGCCGCGGUAACACGUAGGAGGCGAACGUCAUCCGGAUUUACUGGGCGUAAAGCGCGUGUAGGUGGUUUGGUAAGUAGGGCGUGAAAGCUCCUGGCUCAACUGGGAGAGGCCGUUCUAAACUGCCGAACUAGAGGAUGGUAGAGGGAGGGGGAAUUCCGGGUGUAGCGGUGGAAUGCGCAGAUAUCCGGAGGAACACCAGUGGCGAAAGCGGCCUCCUGGACCACUCCUGACACUCAGGCGCGAAAGCUAGGGUAGCAAACGG